GUAGGUGAACCUGCGGAAGGAUCAUUAAUGGGAGAGGGGCUUCGCGCUCCCGGGGGUUCCGGCCUCCAACUCUUCACCCUAUGUCUAUCUACCUUUGUUGCUUUGGCGGGCCAUGGGGUUCUCCCCGCACCUGCCCUGGGCGGUUUGCCCUUGCCGGUGAGCGCCCGCCAGAGGCCCAUCGAAAUUCUGCUUAAUCAGUGGCGUCCGAGCAAAACCAUAAUUAGUAAAAACUUUCAACAACGGAUCUCUUGGUUCUG
rnacentral:misc_RNA from 1 species